UCUUAUUGGACAUUGUUAAAAAAUUGUAUGACAGCUGGACAAAAAUUUAAAUUUUAAUUUUCAUAUAUUCGAGCCUGACGAAUCUUUAUUUAGUUCCCAAUGUGACGGCUGGUGAUGCCGUAUGUAUAAAAUGCGAAGGUUGGCGAAAAUGUUCAGUUCCUGUCGGUCUUUUAUCGUACGCUGAUUUUGAAGAUCAUCAUCGUGUAAUUGACAAAACAGCAAGUGAUCCUGCUGACGAAGAAUUGGAUGGUCUUAGCCCCAAAAAUAAAUAUCUGGUAUUAUAAAAGGAGUUAUAUGCAGUGGUGGGACAGACGGUCUCUGUCGCCCGAUUAUUUCGAAAAGCAGUCUAGCGCAUGAAUAUAGUAGUUGCCGUGGGUGCUGGUUAAGGUGCCCUUACAAUGGUAAUUUCAACAAGGGAACUGUUCUAAGAGAAUCCGCUUUACUUGUAGCAAUAUGUCUACCAGCAUUUUACAUUAUGGUAACAAAUUCUUAUAAUUAUCUAGCAUAGUACUCUCAGUAAGUGGGGUGCAUAGCUGAAAGCUAGAAAUAUUAAUAAAUGUAGUUCAAACGGAGCUUAAUGAAUCUCAAAUAUGUAUAUAAUAUAUUUCCAUUGCAUGAACAGUGAAAUUCUAAGCAAUAAUCGAACAUGUUUGUCAAACAACCCUGA
rnacentral:sRNA from 1 species